UCGUUUCCCAUUUCCUUAGUUCCUGCCGCCCUCACGCCCCACCCAUUCUACCAUCUCCGCCGCGCCGAGCCCCUCCCGACCCCGCCCACCGCGCCGUGCCGCUCCCCCGCGCCGUGCCGCUCCCCCGCGCCGCGCCCAGUUCCCAGCAAGAUCCGCGCCCAGAUUUGACGGUUAAUUUGGGGAUCUAGGGUUCCAAUUUGGGCUCCACCACCUCCCACCGCCGUCGCGCCACCUCCCACCGCUGAAGCAACCACUGACGCCAGCCACCGACGAAUAUGUAGGUUUUUUGGCUCCGAUCUGGGUGUUCCACCGCCUCUCGGUCUCUCCUCCCCUCUUUUAGAUUUAUUUUUGUAGAUCUAAAGCUAAUAUGUAGCCACCGGCGAAUAGAUCUCGGGCGGAUCUUGGAAUACUUAAGUGGGUUUCGAUUUGUUUUGAUUUUGUUCGAUUUUUGUUUCUCUUGUCUUGAAUGUGCUGUGGAUUUAUUUUUCUUUCUCAUACACUCCAUUUCCAAACUUUGACGCUACAGAGGAUGCGAAGCCAA
rnacentral:lncRNA from 1 species